AGAUGUGAGGGUGAUCUGGGCGAGGCAUCUGCCAUCCCAUUGAUGGCCAGGGUUGAUCUGGCUGAUCUGGCUGGCUAGGCAGGAAUCCCCUUCCUCCUUCAGCACUCCAUGUGUGUCCCUCCCAAAUCUGCACACCUGGAUGAAGAGGACAACCACCUCCAAUGGAGGAGGCCCCUAAUGAGUGCUGUUUCUUCUGAUGGGUGAAUGGUGGCUGCAAAUGUAACCCUUUCAAAUCUUCAUGGUUGUAGAGUUAUUCAAGGUUUUUAAUCAGUCCCUGCACUAAUGCAAAUUCUAUUUAAUUCUGAAAUAUCCAGUUAUUUUAAU
rfam:Heterocephalus glaber contig91879, whole genome shotgun sequence.